GAAAUGCGAUAAGUAGUGUGAAUUGCAGAAUUCAGUGAAUCAUCGAAUCUUUGAACGCACAUUACGCCCCUUGGUAUUCCAUGGGGCAUGCCUCUUCGAGCGUCAUUUGUACCCUCGAGCUUUGCUUGGUGUUGGGUGUUUGUCCUCUCUGGAGGACUCGCCUUAAAACAAUUGGCAGCCGGCAUAUUGGUAUCGGACCGCAGCAGAAGUCGCGCUUCUUCCCAUGAAAGUCAGCAUCCAUCAAGACUAUUUUCACUCUAGGCCUCGGAUCAGGUAGGGAUACCCGCUGAACUUAA
rnacentral:misc_RNA from 1 species